rnacentral:rRNA from 1 species
AAGGAAUAUUGGACAAUGGGCGGAAGCCUGAUCCAGCCAUGCCGCGUGAAGGAUGAAGGCGCUCAGCGUUGUAAACUUCUUUUGGAUGGGGACAAUAAUCUCGAUUUAUCGGGACUUGAGGGUACCAUCAGAAUAAGCACCGGCUAACUCCGUGCCAGCAGCCGCGGUAAUACGGAGGGUGCAAGCGUUAUCCGGAAUCACUGGGUUUAAAGGGUGCGUAGGCUGUUAGAUAAGUCAGUUGUGAAAUUCCCCGGCUUAACCGGGCGAACUGCGAUUGAUACUGUUAAUCUUGAAUGAGGUUGAGGUGGGCGGAAUGUGGCAUGUAGCGGUGAAAUGCUUAGAUAUGCCAUAGAACACCGAUUGCGAAGGCAGCUUGCUGGGCCUUCAUUGACGCUGAGGCACGAAAGCGUGGGGAGCAAAC